GACGAACGCUGGCGGCGUGCCUAAUACAUGCAAGUUGAGCGAUGAAGAUUGGUGCUUGCACCAAUUUGAAGAGCAGCGAACGGGUGAGUAACGCGUGGGGAAUCUGCCUUUGAGCGGGGGACAACAUUUGGAAACGAAUGCUAAUACCGCAUAACAACUUUAAACAUAAGUUUUAAGUUUGAAAGAUGCAAUUGCAUCACUCAAAGAUGAUCCCGCGUUGUAUUAGCUAGUUGGUGAGGUAAAGGCUCACCAAGGCGAUGAUACAUAGCCGACCUGAGAGGGUGAGCGGCCACAUUGGGACUGAGACACGGCCCAAACUCCUACGGGAGGCAGCAGUAGGGCAUCUUCGGCAAUGGACGAAAGUCUGACCGAGCAACGCCGCGGGAGUGAAGAAGGUUUUCGGAUCGUAAAACUCUGUUGGUAGGGAAGAACGUUGGUGAGAGUGGAAAGCUCAUCAAGUGACGGUAACUACCCAGAAAGGGACGGCUAACUACGUG
rnacentral:rRNA from 1 species